UCAAUAACUUCCACUUCUGUAAUCAGUUUAUUUAAAUUAACUUACAGAUGUAUCAUUUAAAAACUUAUGUUCAUUUUGAGUGGGUAUCAGUCACCAUGAUCCAUACAAGAGAAGGUUCCAGGAUUCUGUGUAAUGUUAAGAGACUAAUGCCAAGAUAAAAAACAUUUGAGAAAUUGCACUCAGAUGUAAACUGGAAUAUGAGUUAACACUUCUGACAUUCCAUUUGGGUUUGUCAAAUGAGACAGUUGUGGUUUUAAUUCUUGGUAAUUCUGCAGGUAACUAAAGGAACUACAGAAAAUUUGUCUAUACUGUCCUCUUCAGAGAAUAUAUGUUUUAAUCUUUGCCAAUUUAAAGUCAACAGCCAAACUAUAAAGAAGUGCACUAAUGUUCCUAAGGGGUAUAUACAGGCUCUUAGUGAGCAAAAAUCCUUAGCUGUUACUGUGGCUUUCAACCCAUAAGCAGGUAGAGGAGAUUGGUGUCACAGUUAAGUGAGGGUGAUGCAGGGUUUGGUGAAAGAAAGGUCAAGUCUAGAAGAAAGUAAUGAAAAGUGGUUAAGAAACAUUGAGCUAUAGGUGGAGUUUGAUCUUACAUCUCCUUUGCUUGUAUUAUCCCUGUUUCAACUUGGCCCCAUAAUACAUACACUCUCUGGGGCAGGGGCAGACUCAGACUCCCUGAGGGCUUGAGUUUGCUUUGUCUCAGCAGGGGACUUGCAGCCGGCACUCAGGGCUAGGCAGUUAGCAUGCAGGUGGCCCAGAGUGGAUAGACUGCCCACAGUUUUAAAACAGAAAAGCCAGAAAUGCCAACUUUUAAUGAAACAGACAUCUAAUUGUUGGAAUUCAAGAUGAACACCACCAUGUACAGCAUUAGACAUUUUUGUUUGUUUGUUUUUGUUUUUUUCGAGACAGGAUUUCUCUGUGUAGCCAUGGCUGUCCUGGACCAGGCUGGUCUCGAACUCAAAAAUUCGCCUGCCUCUGCCUCCCAGGUGCUGGGAUUAAAGGCAUGCGCCACCACGCCUGGCAACAUUUAAAAAAAAAAAACAUAAAAUAAGUGAUUUUGUUGUUGUUUUUGUUUUUUUGAAUCAGAGACUCAGUGUAUACUUUUGGCUGUCCUGAAACUCACUAUUUAGACCAGAACUCUCAGAGAUCUACCUGCUUUGCCCCAAGUGCUGGGAUUAAGGUGUGAUACAUACAGGUUUUAAAGGUACAACUAGGAAGUAAAGGAACUCAAGAAGAAGAACAAAGCUGCAUCAUAUACAAGACGGGGCAAUCCAAAACAGCAUAAUAUAAUUUUCUCCAACUACUUGAGAAUUAAAAUGAUUUCAUUUAAAACUGAAAAUCAUCUGAUCUCACCUAU
rnacentral:lncRNA from 1 species